GAUCCUGGCUCAGGACGAACGCUGGCGGCGUGCCUAAUACAUGCAAGUCGAACGAGAGCGACUGGUGCUUGCACUGGUCAAUCUAGUGGCGAACGGGUGAGUAACACGUGGGUAACCUGCCCAUCAGAGGGGGAUAACAUUCGGAAACGGAUGCUAAAACCGCAUAGGUCCUUUAACCGCAUGGUUGAAGGAGGAAAAAGAGGCGCAAGCUUCUGCUGAUGGAUGGACCCGCGGUGCA
rnacentral:rRNA from 1 species